rnacentral:rRNA from 1 species
AUGGAAGAGGAAGUGCAAGCAAUGGAUGAAGCUCUAGAUAACCUUCAUGUUGACCCGGAGGACUAUGGUGUGUAUGCCGGAGAUAUAGAGAUUCAGUUUGACGAAGAAGAGCUUGAUGAUUCAGAACCGCAUGAAGCCAUGUACGAUUCAGCACCAGAUGAAGACAUGGAUGUGGAGCAAGAAGAUAAUGAACAAGUUCAUAAUGAAGACAAAUACAAGAAUUUAAUAGAUUUGCAAAGGACUGGUAUUUAUGAAGAAUUGCUAGCAAGAAGUGUCAACCGGAGAUUAAAGAAUACCACAACCAGAGAAGUUGCAAACAUGUUCCAAGUUUCAGUGUACAAGGUCAGACGCGUUUGGAGGAGGGUGAAGCAGUGUCUUCGACAAGGCAUACCCGUUGAUGUACGAUCAAGGAAGCCCAAAAAUUGUGGUCGCAAAAGGAUUGUAGUUGACCUUGGUAGGGUUCCAGAGAUUCCUCGGAGUCAAAGGAGAACUAUACGUAGUCUUGCAAGAGCUUUGGGUGUGAAGAAAAGCACAUUACAUAGGAUGUUUACGGAAGGCUUGCUAGAUAGGCAUUCCAGCUCACUCAAGCCAUAUUUGAAGGAAGCAAACAUGAAGGCUAGGCUACGGCAUUGUCUCUCUAUGUUUGACACGCAAAGUUUGCCAAAUAAGCCCACAUUCAAGGACAUGCGUAACAUAUUACAUUUAGAUGAAAAGUGGUUUAACACCACCCAAAAGACCAUGAAAUUCUACAAGCUGCCAUCAGAAGAAAACCCACAUAGGACUGUGCAAAAUAAAAACUCCAUUGGAAAAAAUAAUGUUUUUGGUUGUAAUAGGCAGGCCUAG